rnacentral:rRNA from 1 species
CCGGCGACCGGCGCACGGGUGAGUAACACGUAUGCAACCUGCCCUCUUCAGGGGGACAACCUCCGAAAGGGAGGCUAAUCCCGCGUAUAUCGGUUUCGGGCAUCCGAGAUCGAGGAAAGAUUCAUCGGAAGAGGAUGGGCAUGCGGCGCAUUAGCUAGACGGCGGGGUAACGGCCCACCGUGGCGACGAUGCGUAGGGGUUCUGAGAGGAAGGUCCCCCACACUGGUACUGAGACACGGACCAGACUCCUACGGAAGGCAGCAG